UGAGCAGAAAAGUACUAGGACCCUGGGGCCGUCCUGUUAUGUGAGAGGAGAGCGGGAAGCUGGGACGGAGAGGACUGGAUGAAGUGAGGCGGGAGAACGAGGGGGCGGAGUUAGCACUCAGUAUGCUGAGGAGAGCUGGCUGAGGAGAGCCACAUGGAGGGGAGUGACCAGCGUUGCCUGGACCGCAGCAGAGAUGGAGAGAGCUCCGUACAGUGAGGAGAGCCGCUGUGGAGUAAUAGCGCUGAGGGGGAGCCAAGCCACCAUGGAGGUUCGUGCUGAGGAGAGUGUGCUGCAGCGAGAGGAGAUCUGCUGAGAGGAGCCGGAGCCGCGGGUGUGACGAGAGAAAGGUGCGCCGCUGCUGGGACUGAGGUAACGGGCACCGCAGCAGCAGACGGGAGUUGAAGGAGCCGCAAGCCACAACCGUAACCAGAGCCAGGGCCCAACCGCCCACCUCCUGCUGACCAGAUCAGAGCCGGAGAUCGAGCACCGAUACCGCUGACACGACUAGAGCUGAUUGUCGUCCACUGAAACAAGGCAUUUUUGGCAUCUGCCUCUGCUUAUCUUCAUCGCAGGACACUAAGCCUUUGGAGCUACAUACAAGAGCAAUUAUGAAUUUACUGGAACUUGAUGUCAUCCAGAGAUAUUUCUCUCAAUGUGCCAAUAUGAUUCUCACAUUGCACUGUUGAUAUAAUGGAAUAAGUGAGGGAGAUUGAGAUUUUUCAAGACAUGACUUUACUGAGUACAAUUGGAAACAGUAACCUGUACCGAGUGCAGCGGUAGAGGAGCGAGACACAGUGUCCGAAGCGUGGCAAACAAAGCAGUACACUAAUUGGGGUCACAUGUGGAUUAAAAUGAAAGUGUUGUGUCAGAUAACUUUGGUGGCAGGAGCAGAAACAUGCAUUAGAAGUGACAGUGGAGGGUUAAGCCUAAAUACAAGUUGGCCAAAGGACCUGUGACAUCACCACCACAUGACCCGCGACAAGAGUGGGGAAGAGCAAGGUAUGAACAUGGAACCCGCUUGCCACCAGGUUACUAAACGGAGUAGUUGUUGAUGUGGAUAGUGAAAGUGCUAUCCCACCGGCCUUGCUCCUCCCCCUGACAUCAGAGGUCUGUUAGUUCACAUGGGUCUAGCAUCUACUAUUCCACAUGAUGCAGUGAGUAAGUACAUACUUCCGCAGCUCUUCAGAGUCCUGUGGUGAUUUGCACCAGACCACUUUACAGUCUUGCUUGUGUGAUUGGUCAGAGUAGACCUAUAUACUGUAUGACUGUAUGUUUGAUGAUGUACUGCUGCUCUGUAUCUCUUUGUUGCAGUUCAGAAAUAAUAAAAUUGUUGUCUCUCUC